AUGUGUGCCACGUUUCCUCAAUGUGAAGCGAAAGAAGGUCGUUGCGGUGGUCGGCUACCAGGAGUAUCUUGUUUGGCCUUGUACCAUGUCGGAUUGUCACUAUUUUUAAAAUCUACUUAUGACUAUUUUGUAAAGGACAAAUUGACAGAUUUGGCGAAAAAUGGGCGUAUUUGGAGCCGGAUGGAAAGAUUGGCAGAUUUGGAGCAGACUGUUGUCACAAUAACAAAAGAGCUGAAGUGGAAGGGCUCAUGGAAGAAGAGAUGGAAUGACAAUAAUGCAACCUUGACGUGUGGCUGUUGUAUGUAUUUGAGGUACGUAGGAAAAGAACUCUUAAUGAGGUAA
rnacentral:rRNA from 1 species